UGUGAUCAGUUCUGAAAGAAAACGAGGUCUUGCUGUGUUGCCCAGGCUGGAGUGCAGUGAUGCAAUCUCAGCCCACUGCAACCUCUGCCUCCCAGGCUCAAGUGAUUCUCAUGUGUCAGCCUCCCGAGUAGCUGGGACUACNNNNNNNNNNCAAGCCUCCCGAGUAGCUGGGACUACAGGCAUGCCUCACCGCACCCAGCUAAAUUUUUGUAUAUUUGGUACAAAGAUACGAAAUACCAGCCAGGCUGGUCUUGAACUCCCGACCUCAGGUGAUCUGCCUGCCUCGGCCUCCCAAAGUGAUGGGAUUACAGGCGUGAGCCACUGCAAUGCCUUAAGCAUUAUUCUUGAAGAAUUGGAACCCCAGUGAGCGGCUAUGCUCUCUACCAGCGACACAUUAAAGCAAUGCAUGAGUCAGCGCUCCUGGAGGAGCAGCGGCAGAGACAAGAACAGAUAGAUUUGGAAUGUAGAAGUUCUACAAGUCCAUGUGGCACAUCCAAGAGUCCAAACAGAGAGUGGGAAGGUAGGUAGAUAGAGCUAUCACCAAGAGAACUUUUAUGAAGGGAAAUAAAGCUAAACCCAAAAGCAGUGUCCAUUGUGCUUUGUAAGUUGUCAACCUCCCAAUUGAUUAUUAUAUUUGUCCUAACAGACACAGUUCCUUAAAUUGACCUUAAACUAUGAAGAAAUGUUAGUAUUAUUAACUACUAAAGGAUGCCAGUAACAUUUUUAAUAGCAUUCUAGUUAAUGUGAAUUUUCUGAUAUUCAUCUUUAUGCUGGAAGACAUUAUAAAGUUAUGCUUUAUGUUCCAUUCAUCUGAAUUUUCAGAGUAAGUGAGAAUUGUUGUCCUGUUCUUGAAGCAA
rnacentral:lncRNA from 1 species